GGAUCCGUGGCUCAGCGGUAGAGCGUUCGCUUCACAUGCGAAAGGUCGAUGGUUCAAAUCCAUCCGGAUCCA
rnacentral:tRNA from 1 species